UACGUAGGGUGCAAGCGUUGUCCGGAAUUCUUGGGCGUAAAGAGCUCGUAGGCGGUUUGUUGCGUCGGCUGUGAAAUCCCGAGGCUCAACCUCGGGUCUGCAGUCGAUACGAGCAAACUAGAGUGUUGCAGGGGAGACUGGAAUUCCUGGUGUAGCGGUGAAAUGCGCAGAUAUCAGGAGGAACACCGAUGGCGAAGGCAGGUCUCUGGGCCACUACUGACGCUGAGAAGCGAAAGCAUGGGGAGCGAACAGG
rnacentral:rRNA from 1 species